CUCACAUCUGGGAGACAGAUAAGUGUCAAUGGUGUUAAAGACCUUGCCAAGGGGCCCACACUGGAUAUUGACCAGGAUUUAAAACCCCAAUGUCCUGUAUGGAGGAUCCAUCCCACCACUCAUCGCCCCCCUAGAACAACAGAUGACAGAAUCCAUCCGACCACCCCUCCUUGUCACAAAACAACAGAUGAUGACAGGAUCCAUCCCACCACCUAUGCACCUCCUACAACAACAGAUGACAGUAUUUUCGGCUUCUCUCCUGGCUUGUUGUCCUCCCCUGUGCUCACCUUCCUGUUGGCACUGAUGCUCCUGAUUCACUGAUGUGCAUGACUGCUCAUCUAAAUCUCUCCUCUGCACACAAACAAGACUGCAUGUGCAUGGGUACAAAUAGACUAAUACCUCUUUUAAAGGAUUUUCUUACUCAUUUUUACGGUGAUAGAAGUUUCUAAUAAAAAAGAAAUACCUGUGAUUUGUUUUGUUAAUGAUGUUUGUGAUCAGGGAUAUAUUGAUCACAAGCUACAACACAGAAGUUAAAAAAGCCUUGA